rnacentral:rRNA from 1 species
UACCAGCACCCCGAGUGGUCGGGACGAUUAUUGGGCCUAAAGCAUCCGUAGCCGGUUCUACAAGUCUUCCGUUAAAUCCACCUGCUUAACAGAUGGGCUGCGGAAGAUACUAUAGGGCUAGGAGGCGGGAGAGGCAAGCGGUACUCAGUGGGUAGGGGUAAAAUCCUCUGAUCCAUUGAAGACCACCAGUGGCGAAGGCGGCUUGCCAGAACGCGCUCGACGGUGAGGGAUGAAAGCUGGGGGAGCAAACCAGG